UGAAUCCCAGCUGAUUAGCUGUCAAAAUAUUAUUAUUUUCAAUGAAAAAUUCUAACCUGUUUUUAACAAGAUGCUCAGCUAUUUUAGCAAGAACAGAGGAUAGGGCUAUUGGGCGAAAAGAAGAAACAUCAGAGGCUGGUUUGUUUGGUUUUAAUAUGGGAAUUAUAGCUUGGGUUUUCCAAGAAGAAGGAAUAAUACCAGACAACACAAUGGCAUUAAUAAUACUCAAAUAGUAGUUCAAGGAAGCGACACUGCUGUUUAUUAAGAAAGAGUUAGAAGGAGGGCAAGAGAUAGGUAAAGUAAGAACAAGUGGUAAUUGAUCACUGCCAUAAGAAUGAUCAAGUACACUCCAGGAUAUCAGAGAGGCCAUACUUGGAGAGCACAGAGAUAGGUCAGGAGCACUAAGGCAUUCACCAGGACCAGUACGUCGAGUUGGAGUGCCAUUGUUCAAAAUACAUAUAUUUUGAGAGUCUAAAAUAUCUGCCAUCAAUUCACCAUAAUAAUUAGAACUAGUACUACCCCAUGACUGAUUUUGACAAUUGAAAUCCCCAAGUACUAAAAAUGGACUAGGUAAAGUAAUUGUGGAGGAGAGGUAGCAGCUACAUCAGCAUAAGACUUUGAUGUAGAAGGGGGAUGGACUUUAGCCGCCUCUGCAUAUGAUAUGCAGCUCUGGGCCAUUGAAAUUUUGAUUUUCUGCUGUCUAGAAAAUUCUGGACACAAC